GUUGAACGCUGGCGGCAUGCCUUACACAUGCAAGUCGAACGGCAGCACGGGGGCAACCCUGGUGGCGAGUGGCGAACGGGUGAGUACUGCAUCGGAACGUGCCCAGUAGGGGGGGAUAACCAGUCGAAAGACUGGCUAAUACCGCAUACCACCCACGGGUGAAAGCGGGCGACCGUAAGGCCUCGCGCUAUUGGAUCGGCCGAUGUCUGAGUAGCUAGUUGGCGGGGUAAGAGCCCACCGAGGCGACGAUCAGUAGCUGGUCUGAGAGGACGACCAGCCACACUGGGACUGAGACACGGCCCAGACUCCUACGGGAGGCAGCAGUGGGGAAUUUUGGACAAUGGGCGCGAGCCUGAUCCAGCCAUUCCGCGUGCAGGAUGAAGGCCUUCGGGUUGUAAACUGCUUUUGUACGGAACGAAACGGUUCUCUCUAAUACAGGGGGCUAAUGACGGUACCGUAAGAAUAAGCACCGGCUAACUACGUGCCAGCAGCCGCGGUAAGAC
rnacentral:rRNA from 1 species